CCCUCGCGGCCACGUCCAUUCUCGGUGCGCAGCGGGAGUGGCCCGAAAGGAAGCCCCUGCGGGGAGAGUCCUCACCCUCUCGGGCCCAGUGAUCACGUAGUUCCCCGGGCAGGCCGAGGGUGCACAGACCCCAGACUCCCGGGGAGGGUUUUGGGGUGGGAGGUGGGAGCGGGAGACGGCUGAGCGCAGCUGGAGAGAGGAGGCCAAGAGGUGGCAGCAGCGGCCCGCCAGCGGCCGCAGAGCCCCGGGCGGGGAAGGCGAGCUGCUCCUGAAGCAGAAAGGAGCCGCGGGGCGCGAAGACAGACGCCUUCCAGGGAUCGGCUGGUCUGGGAGCUGCGCCCUGGUUUGUUCUCUACACGGGAUUUAUGGGGGAGCAAGACAGUGAGUUAGUGAGUGCCAGGAAAUGACAACAGCAGCCUUGGAGGCCACAUGAUGAAGAUGGCAGAACUCUGGUUACCCUGGGUGCCCAAUGGUGAAGAGCUGUUCUUGGCUCUUGGGAACAUUUGCCUUGGGCUGCUUUCAGAACUUCUGUCUUAGUUUGCAGUUGACUCAUCCUGAUCUGGCUGCAAGGAAGAGACUUCAUGUGGAGACUGAAGUAGCACUCUUGACCCCAGCCCACAUGAUGAGUAUGUCUGUGCACAUCCUGGACAAGACUUUGGAGCUAAAAGUGCUGACUGGUUGGUUGGACUGUAAGCCUGGGAGGUCGGACCUGGUUGCCCUUUCUCCUCUCCCCUCAGUGAGUCACCUACCAGGGUAGGUGGGGGACUCAGUGAGCACCGAGUGAGGUAAAUCCAGUGGAUGGUCUUUUGUGCCUUCUAGGGACUCCGUGAGGAUGAAUCAGGAUUAAAUUAAAUGACAAAACCACAAGAAUUGAGGCCUCACUUCCUUUGGUUUUGAGCUGCAGGGAAACUGUGACAUGAAAAGCAAAAUGAGGAGGUACCACCACGAUAGCACUGUAUGGUUUGAGAGGACAUUCGCGGUUCCUGAAUCACAGACCCUUACAAACAGCCCCAUGCACUGGAUAUUGUUAUUGUCACUGCUCUGAAGUUGAGGACUUUGGAGCUCAGAGUCAUGAGGUGACGUGCCCAAGGUUACAUGGUUAGUAAAUAUCAUAAUUGGAACCUGACUCCAGAUUUCUUCCUCUUAACAACCAUACUCUCAUGCCCAUUUGGGAAGUUUUAAAACACUGAUACCUGCAUCCUGUAGGUGUCACAGACUCUGACUUAAGUUAUCUGGGUUGGCCCUGGCAUUGUGACUUUUAAAAGCUCAGUAUCCAGCCAAGGUGGAGAACGAUGACUCUGUGCUUUCCCCAGUGUAGUGGCUGAGGACUAGUUUCUUCCUGACCCAGCGCUUCUCAAACUUUCAUGUGCAUAUGGAACACUGUGAACACUGCUUAGCAUCAGAUUGGUAUUCAGUUGGACUGGGAGGGUCUGAGGUUCUGCAUCUCUAAUAAGCUCACAGGUGAUGCUGCUGGUCCUGGAACCACUCUUUGAAUAGUAAGGUAUCUGACCAGCACACCUCCCUAACAUUGACCAUACAGGGCCUGAGUGUCAAUUGACCAGUUCCUCACCUGUGCCCUUGGCCAGGUGGACUCCUGGUCCCCUUGUGGCCUAUCCCCCAACCAAGCUGGUAGAGACUCCAUCAGUUUGUGGGAUUGCAUUUUGAGCUACGGUGCUCCUUCCCUUCCACCUCAAGAUCUGUAGCCGUGGAUCUUGGGCAGGGCUUCCUUCCUGCACCUGCUCCUGGUUCCAGGAUCUGGUGUUUCCCAGUUGCUCCAUUCACUGCUAUCAGCUCAUUUCUGAUGUGCGGAAAAGCAGGAGGGAGCCCAUGCUAUGAAGAUCAGAAAGCCUGGUGUUUGGGAUCGGAAGGCUCGAGUCUUGGCUCUACCACUUUCUGCCUGUGUGAGCUUGAGUGAGCUAUUUGUCCUGUGUGAGGAAAUGAAGAUUGUUGCCUGAUAGGUUUAUGAUGAUAUUGCACGAGAUGAUGUAGAUAGAGUACUCAUA